UGUUUUCCCGUUAUAUCGCAAGCGAUUAGACAUCAGUGACCAAUAUCAGGUUGAAUUAAGGAUGCCAGUAGCUCAGUACGAAUUUCAGAGAGUAGCAGCUUCCGCUUUAACAUUAGUUGAUAGACUUGGGAGUAGAUCUUUUUUAUAAGUAUUGCUUGUGUGGCUAUACUGUGAGAGAGUGGAAGAAAAGGUUACACGAAGUAUUUUUACUUCUUGUGUGCCAAUAAUAAUGGAUUUCCUGAAUCAGGCCAUUGUAUGAGGCCUAUAAUCUGAUGUGCCUGAUAUCAGAAUUUAUUCUGAGUAUUCCCUCACAUAAGCUAAUUAAUACGGGAUUCAACGAUAAUUUCAUGGAUUGGCACAAACACUAAUCCUUCACUGUAGACGGCAUCUCUAUCCCUCACCGUCAUCCUUCACUUCCCGGGUCUAAAUGCCAGACUACUUCGCAUUUUUGAAAAAUUGGUGAGUCUCCUUCGCGACACUGGUUUCGCUGAAAUCCAGGUGUAACUUGAAAUGAGAAUCUGGUUGCAACCUAUCCUGAACCUCUGGAGACUGCGGUUUCUUGCGAUCUUGAACUGACUUCUGAAGCUUUCUGUAUUUAAUAGCGUCUGCGUUAAAGGGAUGAAACCAUCACGUUUUGAAUUCAUUGCGAAGAAUAUUUUCAGCGUUCAUCAUGCUUAAAGCUGCCUCCAGUAACGGAGCGAAGUCUUCAUUGGGUGGAAGAUGUGCGUCGCGUUAGGAUACAAGACGAUUAUUUGUGUGACAUAAUCAAGUGUUGCAUGUUUCCACCCAUGAACAAGACGACGGACAACCGAAUAGAAUUUUGGAUGCUCCAGGAAUAAAGAACUGUGCUAAAGCACUUGUAGAAGC